rnacentral:rRNA from 1 species
ACCCAACUAACACUUAGCACUCAUCGUUUACGGCGUGGACUACUCUUGGGUAUCUAAUCCUGUUUGAUCCCCACGCUUUCGCACAUCAGCGUCAGUUACAGACCAGAAAGUCGCCUUCGCCACUGGUGUUCCUCCAUAUCUCUGCGCAUUUCACCGCUACACAUGGAAUUCCACUUUCCUCUUCUGCACUCAAGUUUUCCAGUUUCCAAUGACCCUCCACGGUUGAGCCGUGGGCUUUCACAUCAGACUUAAAAAACCGCCUACGCGCGCUUUACGCCCAAUAAUUCCGGAUAACGCUUGCCACCUAUCUUAUUACCGCGGCUGCUGGCACGUAGUUAGCCGUGGCUUUCUGAUUAGGUACCGUCAAGACGUGCACAGUUACUUACACGUAUGUUCUUCCCUAAUAACAGAGUUUUACGAUCCGAAGACCUUCAUCACUCACGCGGCGUUGCUCCGUUCAGGCUUUCGCCCAUUGCGGAAGAUUCCCUACUGCUGCCUCCC